AGCUUCUCUUUGAGCACCAUCCUACCGAAAUCUGAUGGUAGUAAAUGGUUUCGCAAGAGAAGCAUAGAAAUACAUAUUGCUGGCAAAAUGUGUCCUCUCUGUAAGGUGCGAGGUGCAAAUGGCCACUGUGUGACAUUA